rnacentral:lncRNA from 1 species
CGUACAUAGACAGAAGUGCCGACUGUCAACUGAGAUGUUAUUAUUCAAUGUGCCGAAUUUACACAAGCAAGUGAAAGAGCUAUCUGAAAAACAUUAACUUCUGAAGAUAGAACAAGAAAAGCAGACGAGUGGGCAAAAAAUGAACUACGCUGGAAAUUGAGAUACAAAAAAAAUAUGAUUGCAUCACAAAUACAGGCCGUCCACGUGACUUCCAGAAAAACUUUAGCUCUUUUUCUGAUAGGGCAGUCAGAAAGGUAUCUGCAACGUCAAGCGCAAGAUGUGGCAUGUUGACUCCACAUAAAAGGUUGUGUACGAAAUUUCUCUUUCAUGCGGCGCUUGUCAUGGGGCAGACUGCCAGAUGCCUUCAUGAGAGGUUGUGCGAACAUGCAUAUAAUGUGCGCAAUGACAGAGAAAGUUUUUUUGGCACAUCAUACUAGCAUGCGUGGCUGCACUCCUUUGUUUGAAAGAAUGUCAGUUAUUCACAAGCACAGGGAUGGUCUUACCCAUAUCAUACUUGAAGUAGCACAAUUGGCAUGGGAGCAGAGUGCAUGCAUCAGCAAGCCAUCCAUUGCCUUAUCAGAAAGAGAGCUCAAGUUUCUGGGAAGUCAAACCUACAGCGAGCAUUUUUUACGCAACUCUACAUUUCUUCGUGUGCCUCUUGAUGGUCUGCUUUGUUCUCCUUUUUAGUAGUUAUUUUUCAGAUAGCUGUAUCACUAUUGUGUGUAUUCAGCAAUAAAACCUCCAUUGGUAGUCAGUGCUUGUGUUUACGUCCUCGUUUAACCUUUGCACUGUACACUCACGAUAAUGGAUCAACAACUAGCUUAAUAAGCUGCCCUUGUAAAUUCUUAUAGGAGAUGCUCCUUGAAGUUUGUAUUCAUGGCUAAUUUUCCCUUGUGUGCAUGUUUUAGUAAUAAGCUAAUUUGAAAUAUUAAUUAAAACCUUUUAUAACAUCUUGUUUGGUGAAAGUAUUUUAAGAGCUUGUGAACUCUGGUCAUGAUUAUCUGUUUAUCUUGGCUAUUGCAGGACAAAAGGAUUAAAUGUUACCCCUGUCCUGUGUCAAAUCCAUCUGAUCAAUUCUCUAACCUCGGUCUUGUCACGCACCUAAUGCUUUCAUGGUGCAGUUUGCUUAAAUUCUCCCAUCUGAUGACUCACGGUUCAACUGUUUGAUAUUAUUUCAUGGAAAUGGUUGCGCUUCAGUGCUGUUGCAUAUUGUUUCUUGUGUAUUGUUUGAUGUCGAAGGUUGAUGCAUGCUUUUUUAAACAUCAGGUACCCAAAUAAAUUGUGCAAUGUUGCUGCAAGGAGCCUCGUAAACCAGUACCCAGCACUGAGGGACACAUUGCACCUUGGCCAUUUCUCAUGGUAUAUGUGCCUAAGAAACAAGUACAAAAACAUGCAAAAGUGAAUGCCACCAGGAUGCCCUGAAGUCGAUGCAGAAGUGAAAGCAAGAAAGGCAAGCGAAAUUGUGACACCUGCUCAAAAUCUGGAUUUUGAAGACGGGUGAUCAGCUGCAAGUUUGCAUGCAUAUUUCACUAGAUAAACUGACUCUCCUUUCUUUGUUAUGUGGCUUAGUUGAAACAUUUAGUUGCUUCUCUUGAUGUA